rnacentral:piRNA from 2 species
GCAGCUCCCUCGCUGCGAUCUAUUGAA